rnacentral:rRNA from 1 species
UACGAAGGGGGCUAGCGUUGUUCGGAAUCACUGGGCGUAAAGGGCGCGUAGGCGGCUUUAUAAGUCGGGCGUGAAAGCCUGUGGCUCAACCACAGAAUUGCCUUCGAUACUGUAGAGCUUGAGACCGGAAGAGGUAAGUGGAACUGCGAGUGUAGAGGUGAAAUUCGUAGAUAUUCGCAAGAACACCAGUGGCGAAGGCGGCUUACUGGUCCGGUUCUGACGCUGAGGCGCGAAAGCGUGGGGAGCAAACAGG